UGGAUCCUCAGUGAAAUGUCACAAUGCAGCGUGGAUCCUCAGUGAAAUGCAAGCUGAUGCAGAGACAGGAAUUUUUGUGGGCCAUCCCCAGCUGAGGGCCCCACAGAAUCAUCAACACCUUUCCACCUCACCAAUGAAGAUGCAGGGAAGUCCCAAAGACAUUUUAUGGCCGCAGAAGCAAACAGCACAGAAUGUGGUCGACAUGUUUAGCUAAGCGAUAGAUCUACAGUUUCAGAAGCUGAGGCCCUUGCGCUGCGGGACGGAUUUCAUGCUCCGGAUCGU